ACGGCAUCUUGGCUGACGACACAAAGUUUCAUUAUGUGGUGGCCUUCCAAACCCUAGCUAUGGACCUGCCGACAACACCUCCACCUGCCUUCCCCAGAGCGGCCAAUCUGGUGCUGACUGCGGGAAUAGCUACACGACGACACCGCUGGAACGACUUCUGCUUCUAUCAUCAGCGUUUUGGCACCAGAGCGCGUCGCUGCCUUCCACCCUGCUCUUUUCUGGCCCAGGACGAUGGGGCUGCAAGCGCUGUAGAGGCCGAGGUCGAUACGGAGAGGCUGCUCUUCAUUGAAGACUCACGCUCCGGGAGGUGUUUUCUGGUGGACUCCGGCUCGCAGAAGAGCUUAAUUCCACCGGCCGCAGCGGACAGGUUAGUGGUGGACAACUGGCCGCGGCUAAUAGCAGCUAACGGCUCUCCUAUCGCAUUAUUCGGAGAAAAGUUGGUGACUGUUAGCUUCCAUGGUGGGGAUUUUCAGUGGAACUUUGUCGUUGCUGCCAGCUCUGUGCCUAUCUUGGGCGCCGAUUUUCUCUGCGUUCAUGGACUGUUAGUCAAUGUCGCUCACAGACGUUUGAUCGAUGCCCUGUCGUUCUCUUCGCUCCCCUGUUUUACCCGGACUGCCGACCCGAAUUUAGUGGCCUCCGCGGAUGUGCUCCACAGUUUGUUGUUGGAGUUUCCAUCGAAGUCCGUUCCUAAUUUCUCCAGCACGGUAAUGAAGCACGGGGUUGAGCAUUACAUUCCCACAGUCGGGCCCCCGGUGUUCGCGCGCGCGCCACCUCAACCCGCGAAGCUGUCCGUCACUCGAGAGGAGUUCACGGCCAUGGAGCGCCUGGGCAUUGUGCAGUUCUCGAACAGCGCCUGGGCCUCUACUCUUCACAUGGUGCCCAAAUCGGAUGGACGGUGGCGUCCGUGCGGGGAUUUUCGGCAUUUAAAUAACGUUAUGGAGAAUGACCGUUGCCCCAUUCCACACAUUCAGGACUUUUCCGCCCACCUCACUGGUACCUCGGUGUUUUUGAAAAUUGACCUGGUGCGGGGUUAUCACCAGGUUCCGGUGUGCUCCGAGGAUGUUCCUAAGACUGCCCUCAUCACUCCCUUCAGUUUUAUUGAGUUUCUACGCAUGCCAUUCGGGCUGAAAGGUGCCGCGCAGACUUUUCAGUGCCUGAUGGACUCUGUUUUGCGUGGCCUGCCCUUCUUUUUCGUCUACCUGGACGAUAUACUGGUGGCAAGUUGUUCAACGAUCCAGCACGAGUCUCAUCUGCACCAGGUUUCCCAGCGUUUGGCGAAGCAUGGGCUGAUCAUCAACCCGUCUAAAUGUCAG
rnacentral:lncRNA from 1 species